rnacentral:rRNA from 1 species
UACGUAGGGCGCAAGCGUUAUCCGGAAUUAUUGGGCGUAAAGAGCUCGUAGGCGGUCCAUCGCGUCGGGAGUGAAAAGCUGGGGCUUAACCCCAGUCCUGCUUCCGAUACGGGUGGACUAGAGGUAGGUAGGGGAGAUCGGAAUUCCUGGUGUAGCGGUGAAAUGCGCAGAUAUCAGGAGGAACAUCGGUGGCGAAGGCGGAUCUCUGGGCCUUACCUGACGCUGAGGAGCGAAAGCAUGGGGAGCAAACAGG